rnacentral:rRNA from 1 species
UACGGGGGGGGCAAGCGUUGUUCGGAAUUACUGGGCGUAAAGGGCUCGUAGGUGGCCAACUAAGUCAGACGUGAAAUCCCUCGGCUUAACCGGGGAACUGCGUCUGAUACUGGAUGGCUUGAGUUUGGGAGAGGGAUGCGGAAUUCCAGGUGUAGCGGUGAAAUGCGUAGAUAUCUGGAGGAACACCGGUGGCGAAGGCGGGUUGCUGGGCCGACACUGACGCUGAGGCGCGAAAGCCAGGGGAGCAAACGGG